CGCCAUGAAAGCUGUCUGUACCCGAAAUCAUCUUAGCUAACUCGCAAGAGAGGCGGAUGCUGAAGGUAUGGAGAGUGAUUGGGGCG
rnacentral:rRNA from 1 species